CAAUUAAUUGUUUUCCUUUAUAAGAGUUGCCGUGGUCAGGGUGUCUCUUCACAGCCAUGUAGCCCUAACUAAGACAGACCCUGUUCUCCUCGCUUCUUUUUCUGCCCUGACACUCCUCAGAGCCAAAGGCAGCCAUAUGGGAGGCAGCCACGUACACUGCAUUUUCCUUCCCAGUCAGACGUUCUGAUCCAGAACCAGAUUGUCACAUUCUCCAUAGCCGCCAGUGCCCCUCCCCCUCACACCUACGCGUGGCCAUUUGCAGUUCCUGUCUUCCCUCUGUGCACUUUGUGAUCCAGAGGGGCAUGCUUGUGUUUCCCCACGGUGUAGAAUUGGAGUAACCAUGAAUUCACAAGCUCUGUCAGGCUCCUUGGCUGUGAUAGGGCAAAAGGUCCUGAUUUCCCUUGACGGCUGGCCAUUAGCAAACAGUCUUUGUUCCAAUACCCCCCCCUUCUCUCUCUCUCUCCCUGGCUGGCCCUGCUAUGUAGACCAGGCUGGCCUUGAACUCACAGAGUUCCACCUGCUUCAGCGUCCCAGAUGCUGGUAUGCACCACCACACCCAAGGCCUCUGUCUUUUUUUAACCGUGCAUCUUCUCUUACCUGUUAUAAAAGUGUUACUGAACAUGGAGUCACUGUUAGGUCCCAAGCCCCCAAUGGCAGUGCCACUGACAAGGUCCAGAAUGACAGUCUGGGCUCAGAGGGUUGCUGGCUGAUGGAUGCAAGCUUACACUCAGCGUUCCUCAGGAACCUGUUAAACGUGUUUUCUGCCUGCCAGGAAGUGCCUCUUCCUUUAUCUCCCCUCACCUCUGACAAAUGGGCGCCCUGUUCCUCUACUAGCACAUACCUGUCACACACAGCAAAACCCCAUGCUAAACUCCAGGCCCCUUCAGCCUUUACUAUGGUUCCCGUAAUCCACAGUAAAGCCACCAGCCUCUUCUGGCCUGUACAACUCCUACCCUACCCUAAACGUCCAGGGUGUUCCAGCGUCAGCUUCUUCCUGUCAAGACUUUCCCCCACCUUUUUGCUACUCUCUCUG
rnacentral:lncRNA from 1 species